rnacentral:rRNA from 1 species
GCUUUAUCUUAAUUGGAGCUUUCAGGCUCUUAUACGAUUUUGAUGGGAGAUCAGUAGAAAUAAGUCUUCUACUAUCAUAUUAAUCUUACUAGUAUUUCCUAACUUUAUAUGUGUGGCUAGCUACUCUAGGGAUAACAGCGCAAUUUCUCCCGAAAGAUGGUAUUGGAGGGGAAGAUUGCGACCUCGAUGUUGGCUUUAGAUAUCCUAGAGGCGUAGAAGCUUCU